AUCGUUCAAUCUAAUUUUUUAUAAUUAGAUCGGAAGUAAGCAACAGCUGAAGGAACGCAUA
rnacentral:ncRNA from 10 species